CCGGUGGCCCUGCCCUGAAUGUAUAGGGGUGUGGGUGGUAACGCGGGGAAGUGAAACAUCUUAGUACCCGUAGGAAGAGAAAACAAGUGUGAUUCCGUGAGUAGUGGCGAGCGAAAGCGGAGGAGGCUAAACCGUGUGUGUGUUCAAGCCGGCAGGUGUUGCAUGUGCGGGGUUGUGGGGGCCUUGU
rnacentral:rRNA from 1 species